rnacentral:rRNA from 1 species
AGUGAACGCUGGCGGCAGGCCUAACACAUGCAAGUCGAGCGGCAGCGGGUCCUUCGGGAUGCCGGCGAGCGGCGGACGGGUGAGGAAUGCAUCGGAAUCUGCCCUGUCGUGGGGGAUAACCUAGGGAAACUUAGGCUAUUACCGCAUACGACCCACUGGCGAAAGCGGGGGAUCGCAAGACCUCGCGCGGUAGGAUGAUCCGAUGUCCGAUUAGCUAGUUGGCGGGGUAAAGGCCCACCAAGGCGACGAUCGGUAGCUGGUCUGAGAGGAUGAUCAGCCACACUGGGACUGAGACACGGCCCAGACUCCUACGGGAGGCAGCAGUGGGGAAUAUUGGACAAUGGGCGCAAGCCUGAUCCAGCCAUGCCGCGUGGGUGAAGAAGGCCUUCGGGUUGUAAAGCCCUUUUGUACGGGAAGAAAUCGUCUGGGCUAAUACCCCGGGCGGAUGACGGUACCGGAAGAAUAAGCAACGGCUAACUUCGUG